rnacentral:rRNA from 1 species
AGUGAACGCUGGCGGUAGGCCUAACACAUGCAAGUCGAACGGCAGCACAGUAAGAGCUUGCUCUUACGGGUGGCGAGUGGCGGACGGGUGAGGAAUACAUCGGAAUCUACUUUUUCGUGGGGGAUAACGUAGGGAAACUUACGCUAAUACCGCAUACGACCUACGGGUGAAAGCAGGGGAUCUUCGGACCCUGCGCGAUUGAAUGAGCCGAUGUCGGAUUAGCUAGUUGGCGGGGUAAAGGCCCACCAAGGCGACGAUCCGUAGCUGGUCUGAGAGGAUGAUCAGCCACACUGGAACUGAGACACGGUCCAGACUCCUACGGGAGGCAGCAGUGGGGAAUAUUGGACAAUGGGCGCAAGCCUGAUCCAGCCAUACCGCGUGGGUGAAGAAGGCCUUCGGGUUGUAAAGCCCUUUUGUUGGGAAAGAAAAGCAGCAGGUUAAUACCCCGCCGUUCUGACGGUACCCAAAGAAUAAGCACCGGCUAACUUCGUG